rnacentral:rRNA from 1 species
UGGUGGGGUAACGGCCUACCAAGCCUAAGAUCCGUACGGGCCAUGGGAGUGGGAGCCCGGAGAUGGACCCUGAGACAAGGGUCCAGGCCCUACGGGGCGCAGCAGGCGCGAAACCACCGCAAUGCGGGAAACCGCGACGGGGUCAGCCGGAGUGCCGAUGCUUGCAUCGGCUGUCGGGGAGCCUAAAAAGCUCCCCAUAGCAAGGGCCGGGCAAGGCCGGUGGCAGCCGCCGCGGUAAUACCGGCGGCCCGAGUGGCGGCCACUAUUAUUGGGCUUAAAGCGUCCGUAGCCGGGUUGGUUAGUCUCCCGGGAAAUCUGGCCGCUUAACGGUCAGAAUUCCGGGAGAUACUGCCAGCCUAGGGACCGGGAGAGGCCGAGGGUAUUCCCGGAGUAGGGGUGAAAUCCUAUAAUCCCGGGAGGACCACCUGUGGCGAAGGCGCUCGGCUGGAACGGGUCCGACGGUGAGGGACGAAGGCCAGGGGAGCAAACCGGAUUAGAU